CUUUCCAACUGGGUGGGCAGCUUUCUGAAGUUAAGGCUCCUGUCCUGGUGGAGGGAGCAGGUUCCCUGGUGGUCCAAUUCUGUGUGGAGACUUUGGGAGCUGCUCCUGGAAGCUCAGCCCUCCCAACAAUUCUGCAAGCCAUUUAACGCUUUUCCGUCUAAGCCAACGAGAGUGCAAUCCAUUAUACACAACAGAAUCCUGACUCAGACAUUCUGUCUUCUAAGCCUAAGAGUCGCAACACAACUCUAAAAUAACACUGCAUUCUGCAUGAGCUGAAGCUCCUGCUCUCACCCAAAUUCCCUGGUGUGUUCUUUGUGAGGUUUCUAAGUGUAAGCACAGACUCACAGAAAGUCUUUUAUGAUAGAUCAUUGACCCAAUCCUCAAUCCUCUCAUGUAUGGCUCCCUUAUCUAGGGGACUUUGGCAUGUCAUGUGAUCUCCCUGUGAAUGAGCCAAGACAAGGACUCCCAGCCUUCUGACUGCUAAAUCAUUGCUCUCUUCAUUACAUCAUAUUGUCACAGCUGUUUUGCAAGAUGACUAAUUUAUGAGAAUAGUUCAAACAACGUAUCUGGAAGUAGAUUUUUAAAAAGUACAACUUCAUUUUAUUCUCCAAAUAAAAGACUGCUGAAGCUUCUGAGAAAAAGAAAAAAGCGAAGGAUCAUCUUUGAUCAUGCAGUGAGCUGAUUCCAAAAUGUGGACAAAAAGCAGACUCAAAGGCAAUGAUUCCGAGAAACAGUGAAUGUCACAAGGAGACACCUGGGCUCUUUAUAAAGAGGUCUCUCUCAGCCUCCCUGCGCUUAGGGACAGUGGACAGCACUGCAGCACUGCAGCACUGCACUUGGGGCCAUUUUAAACAGCGAAGUCACCAAAACCACGCAAAAAAAUGCUAAAAGCACAGUACUAAACAGACCAUGGAAAAGACAUAUGUACAGUAUGAGAAGGUAAAGUGUCUGUCUGACCUCAGUGGGGAGCAUAAGCACUGGAUGACUCAACGUUUUCACUUCUCUGUGCAUGUCCAAAAAUGACAAAAAUGACUCAGUGGAAGUACUCUGCCUGUUGAUUUGGGGGUUAAAAUACA
rnacentral:lncRNA from 1 species